UGAAGAACGCUGCGAACUGCGAUACGUAAUGCGAAUUGCAGGAUUCAGUGAGUCAUCGAAAUUUUGAACGCAUAUUGCACUUCCGGGUUAGUCCUGGGAGUAUGCCUGUAUCAGUGUCCGUA
rnacentral:rRNA from 1 species